rnacentral:rRNA from 1 species
AAAUUUUAGAGAGUUUGAUCCUGGCUCAGGACGAACGCUGGCGGCGUGCCUAACACAUGCAAGUCGAACGGAACUUUUUUAAAGGAUUUCUUCGGAAUGAAUUUGAUUAAGUUUAGUGGCGGACGGGUGAGUAACGCGUGAGUAACCUGCCUCUGAGAGGGGAAUAACAUUCUGAAAAGAAUGCUAAUACCGCAUAAUAUAUAUUUAUCGCAUGGUAGAUAUAUCAAAGAUUUAUCGCUUAGAGAUGGACUCGCGUCCGAUUAGUUAGUUGGUGAGGUAACGGCUCACCAAGACCGCGAUCGGUAGCCGGACUGAGAGGUUGAACGGCCACAUUGGGAAUGAGACACGGCCCAGACUCCUACGGGAGGCAGCAGUGGG